rnacentral:rRNA from 1 species
UACCAGCACCCCGGAGUGGUCGGGACGAUUAUUGGGCCUAAAGCAGUCCGUAGCCGGUUCUGCAAGUCCCCCGUUAAAUCCAGCUGCUCAACAGAUGGGCCCGGCGGAGGAUACUACAGAGCUAGGAGGCAGGAGGAGGCAAGCGGUACUCAGUGGGUAGGGGUAAAAUCCGUUGAUCCAUUGAAGACCACCAGUGGCGAAGGCGGCUGCCAGAAUGCGCUCGACGGUGAGGGA